CUCACACACACACACAGUCAUUCAAAUUCAAAUUGUAAAUGCUUUAUUGGCAUGAAAUACAUUAGUAAAUAUUGCCAAAGCGUACAUGUAUAAAUACAAAUGACACUACAGCUUGAACAUAAACAAUUGUUACAUCUAACUGUUUAACAACAACAGACACUAUAGGAAUAAUAACAAUAAUAAUAAUAAAAAUGCCAAAAACAUUAAAUGAAUAAUAAUAAUAAAUUCAUAAAUUAAAUUAAUAAAUUUGGUGGUCAACAAUUGUCCCUCAAAUUAUUGCAGGCAGAGAUGUACUUUGCUGCUAAUGGAGCUGUUGGCCCUUCUCCUUGCAGGAUUUAUAAAUUCGCAUUUGGUUUGUGAAUUGAAGUUUUUUAAAAUCAGAGAUAACUUGUUGAAAUAAUUUAUCCUAGUUUCUGAAUAUUUUUACAAUGUAGGAGAAAGUGCAUCUCUGUUUCCCCAGAGUACUGCUUACACACAUGCCUCUGUAAUUAUUGGGGUCUACUUUGUCUCCACGUUUAUAAAUUGUGGAGAAAGUCCCCGGUUCCAGAUGUCAGGAUAAUAAUUGAUAUUUGUAACAGCCCGAUUUAAGCCUGUAGUGUUAUUUUGGUAAUGAGUACUGAGGAACAUGUUAACAGAGUCAAUUAACUCAGUUGAUCUCAUUGCUUUGGUGAAUUUAUCUGCACUUGUUUCAGCCCAUCUGUAUGAUUGGUUAAGAUUAUACAGCUUACAGGGCUGUGUGUAUUAAUUUCUGCAGUCUCCAGUUCUUUUCAGAAAUAUCCUGAAUUUGUUAUGGCCUGAAAUGGGGGUUUGUUGCCUGACAGUGAAUGCGCUGGUGGAGGAGAGGGGUCCAUGUCAGUGACGGCGUAGUCAACAGCACUUGUCCUGAGAGCUGAGCAGGUCCAGGAAGUUGCCUGCUUCCACCACGCAGCGUAUGUUAAAAGAACCUGCCUGCAUCAAGCUGGGGAAUCUCCACCAGGAGAAUCUCCAUGGAGAGGACCGGAAGCACGUGACCUCCAUGUAGAG